CGGAGGAUCAUUAAUGGGAUCUGAUUUGAAUUUUUCAAAUUGAUCUUCCACCCAAUGUUUAAUUUCAUGUCAAACUUUGGCAAGACGUUUGUUACUAAUAGCAAAGCUAUUGGAAUAAUCAUGUUCUAAUAGUUAAGCUGUUGGGAAUGACCAUUGACUUUGAGUAAUUCAAGUGAAUGUGUUUGCUUGCCAAAGGUUUUUACUCUUAUUACUUUGAAGUCUGAGUAUAAAAACAAAUAAAGUUAAAACUUUCAACAACGGAUCUCUUGGUUCUGGCAUCGAUGAAGAACGCAGCGAAAUGCGAUACGUAAUGUGAAUUGCAGAAUUCAGUGAAUCAUCGAAUCUUUGAACGCACAUUGCACCUAAGAGUAUUCUCUUAGGUAUGCUUGUUCGAGCGUCGUUUAACAUCUUAAGACUUUGUCUUGUGUUGAUAUUUGGGGUUUAUUCUCUAAUAUCUAAAAUUGUUGGCAAUUGAUAUGACCGAAAAUUUGCAGCGAUAUGUGAAUAGAAAGUUGUACAGAAUUUGCCAAACCUUUUAAUCAUUGUUCGACCUCGAAUCAAGUAAGAUUACCCGCUGUACUUAAGCAUAUCAAUAAGCGGAGGAAAAGAAACCAACAGGGAUUACCUUAGUAACGGCGAGUGAAGCGGUAAUAGCUCAAAUUUGAAAUCUGGCUUAUGCCCGAAUUGUAAUUUGCAGAGGAAUGUUCGGCUAGGACUAGGUCUAAUUUUUCUGGAAGGAAAAGCCACUGAGGGUGAGAGCCCCGUAUGACUAAAGUCCAAACCAUGUGUACAUCCUUCGNAGAGUCGAGUUGUUUGGGAAUGCAGCUCAAAAUGGGUGGUAAAUUCCAUCUAAAGCUAAAUAUUGGCCAGAGACCGAUAGCGCACAAGUAGAGUGAUCGAAAGAUGAAAAGCACUUUGGAAAGAGAGUGAAAUAGUACGUGAAAUUGUUGAAAGGGAAGCGCUUAUGAUCAGACUUGGAAUUGAUAUUCAGCAGUUCAUUGGACUGUGUACUUUAUCAGUUACAGGCCAAGCAUCAGUUUUCGCGGUUGGAAAAAAGUAGAAAGAACGUGGCUCUUGCGGAGGUGUUAUAUGCUUUUUACAGAACCCAGCCAGUGAAGA
rnacentral:rRNA from 1 species